AUUGAACGCUGGCGGCAGGCCUAACAUAUGCAAGUCGAACGGUAACAGGAAGAAGCUUGCUUCUUUGCUGACGAGUGGCGGACGGGUGAGUAAUGUCUGGGAAACUGCCUGAUGGAGGGGGAUAACUACUGGAAACGGUAGCUAAUACCGCAUAAUGUCGCAAGACCAAAGAGGGGGACCUUCGGGCCUCUUGCCAUCGGAUGUGCCCAGAUGGGAUUAGCUAGUAGGUGGGGUAACGGCUCACCUAGGCGACGAUCCCUAGCUGGUCUGAGAGGAUGACCAGCCACACUGGAACUGAGACACGGUCCAGACUCCUACGGGAGGCAGCAGUGGGGAAUAUUGCACAAUGGGCGCAAGCCUGAUGCAGCUAUGCCGCGUGUAUGAAGAAGGCCUUCGGGUUGUAAAGUACUUUCAGCGGGGAGGAAGGGAGUAAAGUUAAUACCUUUGCUCAUUGACGUUACCCGCAGAAGAAGCACCGGCUAACUCCGUG
rnacentral:rRNA from 1 species